AAUCUUGCGCAAUGGGCGAAAGCUUUACGCAGCCAUGCCGCGUGAAUGAUGAAGGUCUACGGAUUGUAAAAUUCUUUCACCGGGGACGAUAAUGACGGUACCCGGAGAAGAAGCCCCGGCUAACUUCGUGCCUGCCGCCGCGGUAAUUCGAAGGGGGCUAGCGUUGGUCGGAAUUACUGGGGGUAAAGGGCGCGUAGGCGGAUCGUUAAGUCAGAGGUGAAAUCCCAGGGCUAAACCCUGGAACUGCCUUGGAUACUGGCGAUCUUGAGUAUGAGAGAGGUAUGUGGAACUCCGAGUGUAGAGGUGAAAUUCGUAGAUAUUCGGAAGAACACCAGUGGCGAAGGCGACAUACUGGCUCAUUACUGACGCUGAGGCGCGAAAGCGUGGGGAGCAAACAG
rnacentral:rRNA from 1 species